rnacentral:lncRNA from 1 species
UUAUCCUGAACUGACUCUUUCAACUUGACAAGGCUAGGAUCUCUAUCUUGCUUUUCUUUCACCUAGAAAACCAAAGAUGAUUCUGAACUACUUUGAACCCAUAUAUCACCCUCAUCUAUACCGACUAAGCAAACGCCUAGUCUAGCAAACUGAUGGACUUCCUGAGCUAACUUUUUCUUACUAUCCUCAACAUGAGAAACACUACCCAUGGAUAGUCUACUGAGAGCGUCGGCCACUACAUUAGCCUUAC